rnacentral:lncRNA from 1 species
AUUAAUUGUUAUCAUAUAAAUACUGCUAUACUACAUCUGUUGCAUAUUUGUUUUGUUCUGAUCUGAUAUACAAGUUAUAUGCUUUCAUUUCCUAUGCUUAUGUUCUUUAACAUAGGGGGAGGAAUUGUUUUCUGCCUUUUUGCCUUAAUUGACAAAGGGGGAGAAAAAUUAUAACUUGAUAACUUGAUAAUAUGCUUGUUGUUGCAUUAUUAAGGGGGAGAAUCUGAUGUUCUGAUGAUGUUUGUUUUUGCUAUGAUACUUGAUAAUGUAAUAAUACUCAUGCUGAUUUGAUACAUUUGACACAUGCUCUGAUGCUCUGAUUUGGUACACAUUUAAUAAAUUGUUUUCUUUGGUAUGAUUUUGAAAUGGUUUGAUAUGCUCAAGUUACAAUUGUAUGAAUUGUCAAUUAUGCCAAAAAGGGGGAGAUUGUUGGAUUUUGAUCCUUUGAUUCCUAAUUUUGACAUAAUUCACAAUUCAAC